rnacentral:rRNA from 1 species
CAGUCGUACCGGUGGGUAAUCAGCCUUUCGGCGUGAUUAUGUGGAGCGUGAGGAGUUAAACGCCCUCAUGCCUGCAUAUUCGUGUUCUUUGGGUGUACUUACCCGCAUGGUAGGUUAACAUCAAUUUCGAACGUCAUAAAAUGGUUGGAGGAAUGUGGCUUCGAUCUCGUAUUGAAGUGUUAUAGCCUUCGGCAGAUGUGAUGAUCGGGAUUGAGGAUUGCAACGGAUACCCUUCGGGGCUACCCGUCUGAUCUCUGAAAGUUGCUCUGGUGCCGAAAGCUCGCUUACGGUCAUCAAAGUUGACGUUCAACAGGUUAGAACGGGAUAAA